rnacentral:rRNA from 1 species
UGACUAUACAAAGGUAUUGUAAUAAGAUUUUAAUUGAAUGCUAAAAGAAUGGAAAAUUAAAAAAAAACUUUUUUAAAAAUAAAAAUUAAAUUUUUUUUAAUUUGUGCAAAAACAAUUAUAUAUAUUAAAGACAAGAAGACCCUAAGAAUUUAUGAUUUUACAAUUAAAAAAUUUUUUUUAAAAAAAUCUUGAUUGGGGCGAUCAAAAAAUAUCAAUAACUUUUUAAAAAUUUAAGAUGAUCUAUUAUUAGUAAACUAAUGAAUUAAAUACUCUAGGGAUAACAGCGUAAUAAUUUUUGAUAGAUCUUAUUGACAAAAUAGUUUGCGACCUCGAUGUUGGAUUAGGAUUCUUUUUUAAUGAAGAAGUUAAAAAAAGAAGUUUGUUCAACUUUUAAAUUCCUACUUGAUCUGA